rnacentral:rRNA from 1 species
CGGAACAUCGUCCUGUAGUGGGGGGAUAGCCUUGGCGAAAGCCGGAUUAAUACCGCAUACGAUCUAUGGAUGAAAGCGGGGGACCUUCGGGCCUCGCGCUAUAGGGUUGGCCGAUGGCUGAUUAGCUAGUUGGUGGGGUAAAGGCCUACCAAGGCGACGAUCAGUAGCUGGUCUGAGAGGACGACCAGCCACACUGGGACUGAGACACGGCCCAGACUCCUACGGGAGGCAGCAGUGGGGAAUUUUGGACAAUGGGCGAAAGCCUGAUCCAGCAAUGCCGCGUGUGUGAAGAAGGCCUUCGGGUUGUAAAGCACUUUUGUCCGGAAAGAAAUCCUUGGCUCUAAUACAGUCGGGGGAUGACGGUACCGGAAGAAUAAGCACCGGCUAACUACGUGCCAGCAGCCGCGGUAAUACGUAGGGUGCAAGCGUUAAUCGGAAUUACUGGGCGUAAAGCGUGCGCAGGCGGUUUGCUAAGACCGAUGUGAAAUCCCCGGGCUCAACCUGGGAACUGCAUUGGUGACUGGCAGGCUAGAGUAUUGGCAGAGGGGGGUAGAAUUCCACGUGUAGCAGUGAAUUGCGUAGAGAUGUGGAGGAAUACCGAUGGCGAAGGCAGCCCCCUGGGCCAAUACUGACGCUCAUGCACGAGAGCGUGGGGAGCAAACAGGAUUAGAUACCCUGGUAGUCCACGCCCUAAACGAUGUCAACUAGUUGUUGGGGAUUCAUUUCCUUAGUAACGUAGCUAACGCGUGAAGUUGACCGCCUGGGGAGUACGGUCGCAAGAUUAAAACUCAAAGGAAUUGACGGGGACCCGCACCAGCGGUGGAUGAUGUGGAUUAAUUCGAUGCAACGCGAAAAACCUUACCUACCCUUGACAUGGUUGGAAUCCUGAAGAGAUUCGGGAGUGCUCGAAAGAGAACCGGCGCACAGGUGCUGCAUGGCCGUCGUCAGCUCGUGUCGUGAGAUGUUGGGUUAAGUCCCGCAACGAGCGCAACCCUUGUCCUUAGUUGCUACGCAAGAGCACUCUAAGGAGACAGCCGGUGACAAACCGGAGGAAGGUGGGGAUGACGUCAAGUCCUCAUGGCCCUUAUGGGUAGGGCUUCACACGUCAUACAAUGGUCGGAACAGAGGGUUGCCAACCCGCGAGGGGGAGCUAAUCCCAGAAAACCCAUCGUAGUCCGGAUUGCACUCUGCAACUCGAGUGCUUGAAGCAGGAAUCGCUUGUAAUCGCGGAUCAGCAUGCCGCGGUGUAAUACCGUUCCCGGGUCGUUGUUCUAC